AUGCCCCUGACUUCAAGCACAAGAAUUUGGUUAAGCUCACCAUCUAUGGCUUCCAGCCUGAUGACAACUUUGUGCUAUACAUCAGGCGUGUCGUGGAAGCUGCGGUUAAUGUGGGUGAGAUAUCUCUGUAUGACAGGAAGGUGUGUGGGUGCUGUGGUGAUUUGGAUCCCGAGAUCAAGGACAAGGUUUGUCCAUCUAGAUAUCCAAGGACUUCCGAGGAGAGGAAAUGGACAACUGAAGAUUUGGGUUUGCCUUCACGUGCUGUGA
rnacentral:rRNA from 1 species